rnacentral:rRNA from 1 species
UACGAAGGGGGCUAGCGUUGUUCGGAAUUACUGGGCGUAAAGCGCACGUAGGCGGAUCUUUAAGUCAGAGGUGAAAUCCCAAGGCUCAACCUUGGAACUGCCUUUGAUACUGGGGAUCUUGAGUCCGGAAGAGGUGAGUGGAACUGCGAGUGUAGAGGUGAAAUUCGUAGAUAUUCGCAAGAACACCAGUGGCGAAGGCGGCUCACUGGACCGGCAUUGACGCUGAGGUGCGAAAGCGUGGGGAGCAAACAGG